UAACGCGUGGAUAACCUGCCGUAUACAGGGGGAUAACACUUAGAAAUAGGUGCUAAUACCGCAUAAGCGCACAGCUUUGCAUGAAGCAGUGUGAAAAGCAAAAGUUAAAACUUUUGACGGUAUACGAUGGAUCCGCGUCUGAUUAGCCAGUUGGCGGGGUAACGGCCCACCAAAGCGACGAUCAGUAGCCGGCCUGAGAGGGCGGACGGCCACAUUGGGACUGAGACACGGCCCAGACUCCUACGGAAGGCAGCAG
rnacentral:rRNA from 1 species